CCAAUAGCGUAUAUUAAAGUUGUUGCAGUUAAAAAGCUCGUAGUUGAAUUUCGGGGUCAGUAGGUUGGUCGUGCCACUGGUAUGCACUGGCCUUACUGAUUCCUCCUCCUUGAAGAACUGUGAUGUCAUUUACUUGGUGUUGCAGGGAAACAGGACUGUUACUUUGAAAAAAUUAGAGUGUUUAAAGCAGGCUAACGCUUGAAUAUAUUAGCAUGGAAUAAUGAAAUAGGACGUUUGAUCCUAUUUUGUUGGUUUCUAGGAUUGACGUAAUGAUUAAUAGGGAUAGUUGGGGGCAUUAGUAUUCAAUUGUCAGAGGUGAAAUUCUUGGAUUUAUUGAAGACUAACUACUGCGAAAGCAUUUGCCAAGGAUGUUUUCAUUAAUCAAGAACGAAAGUUAGGGGAUCGAAGACGAUCAGAUACCGUCGUAGUCUUAACCAUAAACUAUGCCGACUAGGGAUCGGAUGAUGUUAAUUUUUUAAUGACUCAUUCGGCGCCUUACG
rnacentral:rRNA from 1 species